rnacentral:rRNA from 1 species
UACAUGUGGGGCAAGCGUUGUUCGGAAUUACUGGGCAUAAAGGGUGCGUAGGCGGCUUGCCAAGUCGCAGGUGAAAGUUUUCGGCCCAACCGGAAAAGUGCCUGCGAUACUGGCGAGCUUGAGUGCGCGAGGGGUUGGGGGAACGAGCAGUGUAGCGGUGAAAUGCGUAGAUAUUGCUCGGAAGGCCGGAGCCGAAGGGGCCCAACUGGUACGCAACUGACGCUGAGGCACGAAAGCGUGGGGAGCGAACAGG